rnacentral:rRNA from 1 species
UGGGGAAUAUUGCGCAAUGGGGGAAACCCUGACGCAGCAACGCCGCGUGAAGGAAGAAGGUCUUCGGAUUGUAAACUUUUGUCUUAUGGGAAGAUAAUGACGGUACCAUAGGAGGAAGCCACGGCUAACUACGUGCCAGCAGCCGCGGUAAUACGUAGGUGGCAAGCGUUGUCCGGAAUUACUGGGUGUAAAGGGCGUGUAGGCGGGAUCUUAAGUCAGAUGUGAAAUCUCCGAGCUUAACUCGGAAGCUGCAUUUGAAACUGAGAUUCUUGAGUGAUGGAGAGGAAAGCGGAAUUCCUAGUGUAGCGGUGAAAUGCGUAGAUAUUAGGAGGAACACCAGUGGCGAAGGCGGCUUUCUGGACAUUAACUGACGCUGAGGCGCGAAAGCGUGGGGAGCAAACAGG